GAUGAACGCUGGCGGCGUGCCUAAUACAUGCAAGUCGAGCGAACAGACGAGGAGCUUGCUCCUCUGACGUUAGCGGCGGACGGGUGAGUAACACGUGGAUAACCUACCUAUAAGACUGGGAUAACUUCGGGAAACCGGAGCUAAUACCGGAUAAUAUAUUGAACCGCAUGGUUCAAUAGUGAAAGACGGUUUUGCUGUCACUUAUAGAUGGAUCCGCGCCGCAUUAGCUAGUUGGUAAGGUAACGGCUUACCAAGGCAACGAUGCGUAGCCGACCUGAGAGGGUGGUCGGCCACACUGGAACUGAGACACGGUCCAGACUCCUACGGGAGGCAGCAGUAGGGAAUCUUCCGCGAUGGGCGAAAGCCUGACAGAGCAACGCCGCGUGAGUGAUGAAGGUCUUCGGAUCGUAAAACUCUGUUAUUAGGGAAGAACAAAUGUGUAAGUAACUAUGCACGUCUUGACGGUACCUGAUCAGAAAGCCACGGCUAACUACGUG
rnacentral:rRNA from 1 species